AGCGAACGCUGGCGGCAGGCUUAACACAUGCAAGUCGAGCGGGCAUAGCAAUAUGUCAGCGGCAGACGGGUGAGUAACGCGUGGGAACGUACCUUUUGGUUCGGAACAACACAGGGAAACUUGUGCUAAUACCGGAUAAGCCCUUACGGGGAAAGAUUUAUCGCCGAAAGAUCGGCCCGCGUCUGAUUAGCUAGUUGGUGAGGUAAUGGCUCACCAAGGCGACGAUCAGUAGCUGGUCUGAGAGGAUGAUCAGCCACAUUGGGACUGAGACACGGCCCAAACUCCUACGGGAGGCAGCAGUGGGGAAUAUUGGACAAUGGGCGCAAGCCUGAUCCAGCCAUGCCGCGUGAGUGAUGAAGGCCCUAGGGUUGUAAAGCUCUUUUGUGCGGGAAGAUAAUGACGGUACCGCAAGAAUAAGCCCCGGCUGACUUCGUGCCAGCAGCCGCCGUAA
rnacentral:rRNA from 1 species